CCAGCAGCUGCGGUAAUUCCAGCUCCAAUAGCGUAUAUUAAUGCUGCUGCAGUUAAAACGCUCGUAGUUUGUGUGAGGCUGAGGACGAGUGGGUGCUGUGAAGCGCAAACCAGUCCUUGGCCCUUUGAGACUUUGGUCUCAGGUUACUUUGAAGAAAUUAGAGUGUUCAUGGCGGGCUGAGCUUGGAUACAUUAGCAUGGAAUGACGGAAAGCAAUCUGCUGGUUCAGUGGUGCGCGGGGUUGAGAGGGACAGUUGGGGGCAUUGGUAUUCCGCAGUCAGAGGUGAAAUUCUUGGAUUUGCGGAGGACUCACGAGUGCGAAGGCAUUUGCCAAGGAUGUUUUCAUUGAUC
rnacentral:rRNA from 1 species